GUGUUGGCUUCAGCAGCACAUAUACUAAAAUUGGAACAAUCCAGAGAAGAUUGGCAUGGUCCCUGGGCAAGGAUGACAUGCAAAUUUGUGAAGAGUUCCAUCUUUAA